UUUUCAACCUUUAUUACCCAUAACCCUUGUGCUUUCUCACUCCAUGUUUUGAAUAUCCCCUCCCAACUAGAAAGCUGUACUUUUUAUAAACAAAAAGUGAAAACAAACAAAAAAACCCCACAAAAAUAGAAACAUACACACAAAACUGAAAUACUUUCUUACAAUACACUAAUCCUCCCACUUGUGACCACUGGCCCCAGGGGUACUCAUUGUUCCUGUGGCUUCUGUCCCUGCCUCCCUUGAACAAAAAUGUCUUCUGCAGUCCUUCCUUCUAGAAAUCUUUAGACUUCUGCAAUUGCUC
rnacentral:lncRNA from 1 species